CUUUGUCAUUAGUAUAACUACCUGAUAACCCACAGUGGUGAUACUGAUCAUAACAGCUGCCAACACGGAUCGAGCUCCGGCUAGGACUGCUCUGUUCUGACAUCUCUGCCCCUGAGGACUCACCAGGCUGAGAGCACUACAUUCGGUCAUUCAUGAGCAUCUCGUGUAAGUCCUCCCUUUGUGCUUCUCACUCCCCCCUCACCAGACCCUCUGAGGGAAGCACUGUUAUCAUCUUCCCCACCAGCAGAUAAGGCCACUGAGGCAUAGAGACUAAACCC